CAUUGUGGUUUCUUCACUAAACUUGACAGUACUAUACUGUAAUUGUAACCCAUGGACUGCCGUGUCUAGUUAACUCUUUUAAGUACAUGUAUCAAUCAAGUAUUAGUACUGUACAAUAUUAGGGAUGCACCAAUUAAUUGAUAAAUUACAAAUAUCCAUAUUUUGUGGAAUAAUCUGUACAGGUAUUGGUAAACAAAGUAUUAGCUGAUGCCAUUUUGCAGUCUAUUUUGGGUUGAGAAAUUAAUUGGUAACAUUUUUAUUACCAGCAAAAUACAGUAAUUACGGAAACCAGUUAGUCUGUUCACUUAUUAUGGUAAUGUCACUCUCGGAUGCUGAUCAUUGUCUUGUAGUUGUGAUGGAUAACAUGGCAGUGUCUGUGCAGGUCUUUGUACAACACUUCAUUAUACAGUACCGGUAAUAAAUAUAUUAUGCCAGACAAAGUAGCUCUUAUUUAUUCUGAAGAGAAAAUAAUCCGGUAAAGACUGUCGCUGACGAGGAAGCCUUGUUAAAGCACAUUACUUAUUUUAUUUACCAAUAUACUAUACUACAGUAGACUUAAAUCCUGCAAAAAUUAUGAAAUAUAAAACCCAGCUGUUCUUAAUAUUGCAGCUUCAAGAUUUCUGUAAUACUAUUACCCACUAAAGUUGAUGUAUUUGUGGACGGGUUUCUUUACCACCAGAGGAAAUUGUUUCAUUUAAAUACUGUACUGUAUUUGGCCGAUACUUUGUUUAUAGUCUGGCUUUGGUGGCGAGACUAUAUAGUGACUUAACUGCUUUACCUGCUUGAUAAAAUAGACCUAAAUUAUAGCAUUAACUCUAAAUCUGGCGGCAGAUUGGGAGUUUUGAAUCUGGUUAUUAACGGUGCAUCACUAAUGUAUUUGAUUGUUCUUCAAUUACUGUACUAGAUUAAGUGGUUUAAUGUGGUACUUCCAUAGAGGAUAAAACCGUCAGUUUAGGGUCAUGUUAUACAAUACUGUAUUAGGAUAAAUUAGUAUUGUGAAAAUAUUUUACUUGAAACCUUUUAUAGGUAAUAACUUGACUUUACUUCCAGUAGGUUCUGGACCUUGGCAAGGAGAGGUGUGCACUCUGCUGUACCACACAUCUUGCCUCACUUGUACUGCUGUACUAGGCUUCUCUCCUCCAAUAUCAGGAUGGCUAGUGAUUCACAACACAACUAAAGGAAGCCGAUGCAAAGAUACAGCCCAGAACCAUCCUUUCACUCCUCCUCUCUACCUCAGAAAUGUUGUUCUGAACACUGGAGUGCCGUGCUGCCCUAGACUGUGCUUACUGGCUACUGCCUUGGACUUCCCUAUACGACUUUGCUCUGUGCUUGCUGCCCUGGACGGCUCUGCUCUGUGCUUGCUGCCCUGGACGGCUCUGCUCUGUACUUGCUGCUCCCCUGGACGGCUCUGCUCUGUGCUUGCUGCUCCCCUGGAUGGCUCUGCUCUGUGCUUGCUGCUCCCCUGGACGGCUCUGCUCUGUACAUGCUGCUACCGUGGACGGUUCUGCUCUGUGUGUGCAGCUGCCCUGGACGGCUCUGCUCUGCGUGUGCUGCUCCCCUGGACUGCAAAUUUAUAGAGCCAUUAAGUUUCCAUUAAUAAAUGUCUAAAUGUCA